rnacentral:rRNA from 1 species
AGUAACCUGCCUUGGAGUGGGGAAUAACAGUUGGAAACAGCUGCUAAUACCGCAUAAUAUGUCUGUGUCGCAUGGCACUGGGCAUCAAAGAUUUAUCGCUCUGAGAUGGACUCGCGUCUGAUUAGCUAGUUGGCGGGGUAACGGCCCACCAAGGCGACGAUCAGUAGCCGGACUGAGAGGUUGGCCGGCCACAUUGGGACUGAGACACGGCCCAGACUCCUACGGGAGGCAGCAG